rnacentral:rRNA from 1 species
UGAGGUAACGGCUCACCAAGGCGACGAUCAGUAGCUGGUCUGAGAGGAUGAUCAGCCUCACUGGGACUGAGACACGGCCCAGACUCCUACGGGAGGCAGCAGUGGGGAAUUGUUCGCAAUGGGCGCAAGCCUGACGACGCAACGCCGCGUGGAGGAUGAAGGUCUUCGGAUUGUAAACUCCUGUUGCCCGGGACGAAAAGCUUCGACCUAAUACGUCGAAGUCUGACGGUACGGGGUGAGGAAGCCCCGGCUAACUCUGUGCCAGCAGCCGCGGUAAUACAGAGGGGGCAAGCGUUGUUCGGAAUUACUGGGCGUAAAGGGCGCGUAGGCGGCCUGUUAAGUCGAACGUGAAAUCUCCGGGCUCAACCCGGGAACUGCGUCCGAUACUGGCAGGCUUGAAUCCGGGAGAGGGAUGCGGAAUUCCAGGUGUAGCGGUGAAAUGCGUAGAUAUCUGGAGGAACACCGGUGGCGAAGGCGGCAUCCUGGACCAACACUGACGCUGAGGAGCGAAAGCCAGGGGAGCAACGGGAUUAGAUACCCCGGUAGUCCUGGCCCUAAACGAUGAAUGCUUGGUGUGGCGGGUAUCGAUCCCUGCCGUGCCGAAGCUAACGCAUUAAGCAUUCCGCCUGGGGAGUACGGUCGCGAGGCUGAA